rnacentral:rRNA from 1 species
GUAACAAGGUCUCCGUAGGUGAACCUGCGGAGGGAUCAUUACACAAAUAUGAAGGCGGGCUGGAACCUCUCGGGGUUACAGCCUUGCUGAAUUAUUCACCCUUGUCUUUUGCGUACUUCUUGUUUCCUUGGUGGGUUCGCCCACCACUAGGACAAACAUAAACCUUUUGUAAUUGCAAUCAGCGUCAGUAACAAAUUAAUAAUUACAACUUUCAACAACGGAUCUCUUGGUUCUGGCAUCGAUGAAGAACGCAGCGAAAUGCGAUAAGUAGUGUGAAUUGCAGAAUUCAGUGAAUCAUCGAAUCUUUGAACGCACAUUGCGCCCUUUGGUAUUCCAAAGGGCAUGCCUGUUCGAGCGUCAUUUGUACCCUCAAGCUUUGCUUGGUGUCGGGCGUCUUGUCUCUAGCUUUGCUGGAGACUCGCCUUAAAGUAAUUGGCAGCCGGCCUACUGGUUUCGGAGCGCAGCACAAGUCGCACUCUCUAUCAGCAAAGGUCUAGCAUCCAUUAAGCCUUUUUUUCAACUUUUGACCUCGGAUCAGGUAGGGAUACCCGCUGAACUUA